ACAGUCAGGGUACUUGGGCAACAG
rnacentral:piRNA from 1 species